rnacentral:rRNA from 1 species
AGUGAACGCUGGCGGUAGGCCUAACACAUGCAAGUCGAACGGCAGCACAGUAAGAGCUUGCUCUUACGGGUGGCGAGUGGCGGACGGGUGAGGAAUACAUCGGAAUCUACUUUUUCGUGGGGGAUAACGUAGGGAAACUUACGCUAAUACCGCAUACGACCUACGGGUGAAAGCAGGGGAUCUUCGGACCUUGCGCGAUUGAAUGAGCCGAUGUCGGAUUAGCUAGUUGGCGGGGUAAAGGCCCACCAAGGCGACGAUCCGUAGCUGGUCUGAGAGGAUGAUCAGCCACACUGGAACUGAGACACGGAACAGACUCCUACGGGAGGCAACAGUGGGGAAUAUUGGACAAUGGGCGCGAGCCUAAUCCAGCCAUACCGCGUGGGUGAAGAAGGCCUUCGGGUUGUGAAGCCCUUUUGUUGGGAAAGAAAAGCAGCAGGUUAAUACCCCGCUGUUCUGACGGUACCCAAAGAAUAAGCACCGGCUAACUUCGUG